GAGACAUAUACUAAACCUGGAAACAGAUAUGUAAUUGCAAAUACUGUAGUGCUGUGAAGGAGGGAAAAACUGGUGCUUUUAGAGAAUCAGAGGGAGGCCCUGUUUUCCUUUGGGGGAUCGAGGAAAGCCUUUCCAGGGAGGAGGCUCAGGAUGAGAUAUGAAAGAGGAGGAGGCAGCAAGCUGGGUGGAAGAGUCUGCUGGGCUGAGGCACAGCACAUGAGAGUGCCCUGUGGCCGGGGAA
rnacentral:lncRNA from 10 species